GCCACAGCAGGUCUGUUACCCAUCGGAGGUGGGGCCUAGGGAAUGCCGGGCCGGGAACACAGACCGCCAGCCCCAGAUGCCACAUUUGUUCCUGAAACAGACCAAGCAGACGCUCAUGAGGAUCCACCCCGCCAACCCGAGCCACAGCCUUCCCCUCCGAAGGCCCCUCCAAUCAGCCUUCUCACUGUGAGACCGCGGGGAUCUUGAGGAUGCCCGGACUGCUGGGACAACGGAGCAGGGGCCGGGGACUGGGAAGUCCUGAGGAAUCACUGUUAAUUGGUCAGGUGCUUGACAUUUUCCAUAAUAAAAAGUUAAAAAUAAAAGGAUGUCUGAUUCAACGUAACAGGUAGAGGCUUCCGUGCGUCCCUCUCAUUCGUGGAGAGGGUGAGCAGGCAGAAGACCAACCGGGAGACAGAGGGCCCGAACACCACCGCAGACAGAACCUAACAGGCCUCCUCAGGACACCCCACCUAACGGCGGCAGAAGGCUCGUUCUGCGCCAGCGCACACGGGGCACUCUUCGGGGGGGACCGUCUGCUGGGCCACCAAAGAAGCCCCGGUGAAAUUUAAAGGAGAGAAAUCGCACCACGCAUGUCCUCCAGUCACGAUGGGAUGAAAUCAGAACUCAGUGACAGAAACAGAUGUUCGGGAAACUCACCAAUACGCGGAAAGGAGACAACACACUCCUCAAUAACCAAAGGAUCGAAGAACAAACCGAAAGGGAAAAUCAGAAAAUACUUUGAGAUGAAUGGAAACGAACAUGCAACAUGUUAAAACGUAUGGGGCAUUGCUGAAGCAGUGCUUAAAGGGAAAUUCAUAGCUGUAAAUGACGAUAUUAAGGAAGAAAAGAAUUUCAAAUCAAUAAUCUAACCUUCCACAUGAAGGCGCUGGGAAGAGAGUACACUAAACCCACAGCAAGCAGAAGGAAGGAAAUCAUAUAAUAAAUAUGAGAGUGAAAAUUAACAAAAUACAGAACAGAAAAACAACAGAGAAAAUUGAUUGAACCAAAAGCUAGUUCUUUGAAAAGAUCAACCAAAUUGACACACCGUCAGCUGGACGGGCCAAGGAAAGAGACAGGACUCAAACUACUAAAAUCAGCAACGAAGGAGGGGCCGUUCCCAUGGCCAUUACAGAAAUAGAAAGGAUUAUAAAGGAAUACAAUGAACAAUUGUACCCAAACAAAUUUGACAAUUUAGAUGAAAUGGACAAACCCUAAAGGGACAAAAAGUGGCAAAACAACCUCAAGAAGAAAUAAGCUACUAGACCUGUAAAAAGUACAGAGCUUGAAGUGGUAAUAAAACAACUACUCACAAAGGAAAGCCCGGGCGAGAGGGCUUCACCAGUGAGUCCCACCAAACCCCGAAGGAGAAUGAAUACCGAUGAUUCACAAACUCUUGCAAAAACCACACAAGGGCCGUAACACCGCCUGCCCCAUCCUGGGAGGCGCUGCCCAGACGCCAAAGCCAGGCACGCCACCAGACAGCUACGGACCAAGUCCCGUACUAAAUGAGUAUAAAACACUAGCCGACCAAGCCUGGCAACACAGGGGUUCUUUCACACCCCGUGACCAAGUGGAAUUCAUCCGGGAGUACACGGUUGAGUCAACAUCUAAAAAUCAAGUGAUGUCACACACAGCAAUAGAAUUUUUUCAAGGUACAUGAUAGACACAGAGAAAAGCACCUGACAAAAUUCAAACCCUUUCAUGAUUAAAUAGAAGGAAACUUCCAGAACCUAAUAAAGGGCACCCCCACUUAACGGUGCAAGGCUGGAUUCCUUUCCCCUACGGCCAGAAACAAGACAAGGAUGUCUGCCACUUGCAUUCAAAAGUUGACUGGAGAUUUUAGCCAAAACAACUGGGCAGGAGAAAGAAAUAAAGGAAAUUCAAGCCCUGGCAGGGUAGCUCGGGCACUUAGAGCAUUGUCCUGAUACACCAGCGUCGUGGGUUCCAGAAGCAGCCCAUGAAUGCAUAAAUAAGUGGAAGAACAAAUAUGUUUCUUUCUUUCUCGAAAAUCAAUCAAUAAAUUUAUUUUUAAGAAAGAAUAGAGCCCUGGCUGGUGUGG